rnacentral:rRNA from 1 species
CGAAAGCCUGACGGAGCAACGCCGCGUGUGGGAAGAAGGCUCUUGGGCUGUCAACCACUUUUCUCAGGGAAGAAGCUCUGACGGUACCUGAGGAAUCAGCAUCGGCUAACUCCGUGCCAGCAGCCGCGGUAAGACGGAGGAUGCAAGCGUUAUCCGGAAUUAUUGGGCGUAAAGCGUCCGCAGGUGGCUAGUCAAGUCUGCUGUCAAAGACCAGGGCUUAACCCUGGGCCGGCAGUGGAAACUGGUUAGCUGGAGUACGGUAGGGGUAGAGGGAAUUCCUGGUGUAGCGGUGAAAUGCGUAGAUAUCAGGAAGAACACCGGUGGCGAAAGCGCUCUACUGGGUCGCACCUGACCCUCAGGGACGAAAGCUAAGGUAGCG